UCAGGCACUGAUGCUUAGCAAAUCCAGUUCAAGAUGAGCAGGCUUCUGGUGAAUUUGGAAAUUUGCUCCCCAGGUGCCAGAUCAAUGCUCAAUCUGGAGACAUUUAGCGUUGUUUGAGUUCAUCCUUUUUCUUAUUAUUUUGAAGAAUUUUUGUUUCAGUCACGUUAUGGUAUGGUUAAAUAGACCGAUUACUUCUGGAAAAUUGGGCCGUGUCUAGUUGAAACGAUUCAUUGCAUGCUACUGCUGUUAGCCCCUGCAAUGUAACAUGCAAGUGUGAAAAUAAAUGCACUUUUUGAAAAUAAAACCGUUUUUAGUUUCCAA